rnacentral:tRNA from 1 species
UGGGGGAUUAGCUCAGUUGGGAGAGCGUCUGCAUGGCAUGCAGAAGGUCAGGGGUUCAAGUCCCCUAUCCUCCAU